GACGUAGGGGGCCAGCGUUGUUCGGAAUUACUGGGUGUAAAGGGUUCGUAGGCGGUGUGGCAAGUCGGGAGUGAAAUCUUUGGGCUUAACUCAGAGGCUGCUUCCGAAACUGCUGUGCUUGAGUGUGGGAGAGGCGCGUGGAAUUGCAGGUGUAGCGGUGAAAUGCGUAGAUAUCUGCAGGAACACCCGUGGCGAAAGCGGCGCGCUGGACCGUUACUGACGCUGAGGAACGAAAGCUAGGGGAGCAAACAGG
rnacentral:rRNA from 1 species